AGAGUUUGAUCCUGGCUCAGAACGAACGCUGGCGGCAUGGAUUAGGCAUGCAAGUCGAACGUGAAGCAUUUUAAUGAAUCUUCGGAUGAGAUAAGAUGUGGAAAGUGGCGCAAGGGUGAGUAACACGUGGGUAAUGUACCUUCAUGCUGGGGAUAACUUCUCGAAAGGGAAGCUAAUACCGAAUAUGAUAAAGACAACUUCGGUUAUUUUUAUUAAAGGUGGGGACCUUCGGGCCUACCGCAUGAAGAUCAGCCCGCGCCCUAUUAGCUUGUUGGUGAGGUAACGGCUCACCAAGGCGACGAUGGGUAGCCGACCUGAGAGGGUGACCGGCCACACUGGGACUGAGACACUGCCCAGACUCCUACGGGAGGCUGCAGUCGAGAAUCGUUCGCAAUAGGCGAAAGCCUGACGACGCAAUGCCGCGUGUAUGAAGAAGGCCCUCGGGUUGUAAAGUACUUUGAGCAGGGAAGAAAGCUUACUUGUUAAUAGCUAGUAAGUUUGACGGUACCUGCAGAACAAGCCCCGGCUAAAUUCGUGCCAGCAGCCGCGGUAAUACGAAUGGGGCAAGCGUUGUUCGGAUUAACUGGGCGUAAAGGGGGUCUAGGUUGUUUAAUAAGUUUCUUGUGAAAACCCGGAGCUCAA
rnacentral:rRNA from 1 species